rnacentral:rRNA from 1 species
GUGGGGAAUAUUGGGCAAUGGGCGAAAGCCUGACCCAGCAACGCCGCGUGAAGGAAGAAGGUCUUCGGAUCGUAAACUUCUAUCCUUGGUGAAGAUAAUGACGGUAGCCGAGAAGGAAGCCCCGGCUAACUACGUGCCAGCAGCCGCGGUAAUACGUAGGGGGCAAGCGUUGUCCGGAAUGAUUGGGCGUAAAGGGCGCGUAGGCGGCCUGGUAAGUCUGGAGUGAAAGUCCUGCUUUUAAGGUGGGAAUUGCUUUGGAUACUGUCGGGCUUGAGUGCAGGAGAGGUAAGUGGAAUUCCCGGUGUAGCGGUGAAAUGCGUAGAGAUCGGGAGGAACACCAGUGGCGAAGGCGGCUUACUGGACUGUAACUGACGCUGAGGCACGAAAGUGUGGGGAGCAAACAGGAUUAGAAACCCCAGUAGUCC